AUACGGAGGGUGCAAGCGUUAUCGGGAAUCAUUGGGUUUAAAGGGUCCGCAGGCGGAUUAAUAAGUCAGUGGUGAAAUCCUCUCGCUCAACGAGAGAACUGCCAUUGAAACUGUUAGUCUUGAAUUCGGUCGAAGUAGGCGGAAUGUGUCAUGUAGCGGUGAAAUGCAUAGAUAUGACACAGAACACCGAUAGCGAAGGCAGCUUACUAGACCUGGAUUGACGCUCAUGGACGAAAGCGUGGGGAGCGAACAGGAUUAGAAACCCCGGUAGUCC
rnacentral:rRNA from 1 species